AAUCAUACCUGGCAGGGGAGAUACCAUUAUUGCAAAAACGGUUUUACCAGGGUAAGGCUCAUCUAUUGCACUUUGGAUGUGCUGAUCCCUGUGAUUUCCCCAAAUGUGGGAAAAUCAACUGCCUAAUUUGUGGUAGUGGGGGACUGUAUUUAUGGUUUCCCCUG
rnacentral:snRNA from 1 species